AGAGGUAGAAAGGAGUCAGGUUAUGAAGGGUUUUAAAAGCCGAACAUGUUUUUAUGUUUGAUCCUGGAGCUAAAUGGGAUUGAUUAUGAGAGUGAUAGACCUGCAUUUCAAGAAGACUAAUGUGACAAUUUGUAAAGGUCUCAGACUUAACAGACUGGAAAAGCUUUGGACCAACUUCAGUAAGUCUUGUAUUCCAUAGUUCCUGGCCCAAAGGUCAAGCAGCUGGCUAGAGAUAAUGACCCCAUUACUGAUAGUUGGUUGACUUAGAAAGAUUUUUUUGCCAUUAGAAGAUCCAAUUUGGUAGGUUUUAGUCUUUCUAUAGAACCCUUUCAUAAAAAUAAUACCUCUUGCAUUGGGUACUGGGAAUCCAGUUCAGGAGAGUGUCCACAUAAUUAACUAAAAUAAGCCUUUAAAUUGAAUAAUAAUUCCCACAAUAGAACAUGUGCUGAAAAUAAUGAUCAGAUGUUACUUGUGUAUUUAGAGAGGGAGAAAAGUACUGAAAUUCUAAAUCACAAAGAGGUCUGAACAGAAAUCAGUGGUUUUAUAGCUAACUAAUUUUAUAUAUAAAGCAAGGGAGUCUGUUUGAAAUGUCACAUUGUGAAUCUAAUAGGGCUGGCUUGGAAUACUACUCUUCUAAAGAGCUGAGAUCCUUGGACAGGGAAAUAGAGGAUUUUUAAUAUUGAGUUGAAUUUUUCUCAGCAGACUUGGAAAUAUUUAUUCGAGAUAAAUUGAUAAGUAUAAAUUAUGGAAACAGGAUAUUUAAUGCUGAGCUGAAUUUUUCUCAGCAAACUUGGAAAUAUUCGAGAUAAAUUAAGUGUAGAUUAUGGAAGGAAACUGAUGGACAGACUCUUCACUCUCUAAUUCUUUCAUCCUAUUUCUAUCCUUUAUAAUGCCAUUGAAAUUGCCUUUAAAAAUAUAAACAGUCUGAAAAUAUCUGCUCAGGAGAGAUGAUUUCAAUGAUCUGUGAAAUGAUUUUGUUGAUUAUAAGUACAAAUAUAAAUUCAUAUCGAUGUCAUGGCUAAGAUUAAUGUGGCUAGUUUUGACAUCUGGCCAAUUUUUAGCAUUUUCCUAGGGAACAACGAAAUACUACUUUUUAGCAGACUAAACAAAAUUGUAUGACACAACUCAAUACAUAGCAUUUAGUGAAGACUAGUAUUUUUUUAAAUGUAUUUUUAUGUCAUUUAAAUUUUCUGCUAUUUCACACCACCCUUCCUUAGUCCCAGAGAGCUUUCUGUUAUACGAAAUACUUUUAAAGGAAAAAAAUAGGAAAAAAGGGGAACAAAAUCAGCAAAACUGAUCAAGGAGAAAAAAGUCUGAAAACAUGAUAAAUACACCUAUGGACCUCCCACUACUCUGAAGGAAGGGGAAGAGGGGCUAAGAACAAGAAAAUGGAGUUAUUUCUGAAUUAUCUAGAGCUUGGACUUCAGCUGUGACUUAAUAAGAAAUAAGCAGUCAUCUUCAAUUCUCAAAUUUUGGCUUAAUUCUUGAACAUUUUACCUUUUCAAAUUAUCCAAGUGAUUGCCCAUGAAAGUGUCUUUUAUUCUGAAAACUGCUGGAUGAUACCACUGAGCAGCCAGAUUAUACCUUGCACAUACGAUGUCAGUAAUAUAUCUUGUUAGGAAAGUUCUUUGGCACUCUACUAAAUUAAAAAGCACUUUAUGAAUGCAAGGGAGCAUUAGCAUGUCUAUGUUAAAAAAUGUUGUCACUCCUGUUCAAUUUUUUCCCCAUUAUGUAUGGUAAGGAUAAAUGUUAGAAAGAUAAAGUUGGGCUGAAGGUCAGUUAUCGUGAAUGUUUUUGAAGAGGCCAUAGAAUGGCUUUGAUUUGUAUGCUCUUUGGGGGCACAGGUGACAGUUUCUAUAUGACAUGACCUUCUAAAUGGCCAACAAUCUAGCUACCUUGAAAAAAUGAUCUUGGAAAAAUACAAAUCUCCUUUCUGUCAGAUAGCCAUUUUCUCUGUAGGAUGGUAAAAAUCUGCAUCUCUCCCAUCAAAGACUUUGAUGGGUUUCUUCUAGUUCAUAGGCAGCUGCAGCUUCAGAGAAGAGAAGAGUGACGGUAAAGAGAAACAGAAGAUUUGUUAUCAGGGAAAACAAUCACAGCUAUGAAACAGCAAGGAGACAUAAGAUGUUUUCCCAGUGUUUCAAAUCCCACUGGGUAUGCUUAUCUUCUGGUAGCCACCCGUCCUGGAGUUGUUUGAUUGCUGUCAUAACAAAUCUUUGUGACAGAAGAGGAAUACAUUUCCUUCCCCAUCCUCUUCCUGUUGUGUCAGGGCAGGCUAUUUGACAAUUCAGACUGUCUACUCUGCUGAACAGGCUUGCUUGUCAAAUGCCCAUUGUAAGGUUUAAGCAAGGUAAAUACCCAGCUAGCCUUAGGUGUCUGAUUAACUCCUGAUGGGGGUGUUUGCAAAGUGCUGAAGCAUGAAAAUGAGGGGUUAGGAAGUUGAGGGUGGACAUAGAAGGAUUACUCUUAAGCAGUGCUAUAGGAAGAGAGGGCUAGAAGUUUUGAGGGUCAAUAAACAGACACAAUGAUACAUUAUGAAGUCAGAGGAUAUAAAACAUCUAAAAUAUUGUCCCUGGCCUCAGGAUCUUAAUAAUAUAGUUUUGGAAAUGCAUAAAAAAUAACUCAGACAUUAAGAUAAUAAGUGAUAAUGUGGAUAAUGAAUGUACUCAAAGUGGAGGGGGAAAAAUACCACUUUCAGGCUGGGAUCAUCAGGAAAGACCCAAUUCUACAAUGUUGAGAGGAAAUGUUAUCCCUUGUAAAAUCUCGUGUGUGCAGUGGGACUUUCACUGAAAUAACCAAAAGUUGAUGAAUGCAUAAGAAUCAAACUACUAACCCCCUGGGUUUGAAUCAGUAUGGACUGGGGAAGUUCAUAAAAGGAUAUGUGACUCCCAAUAAUAGCAGACCUGAACAGUGUGUAAUUAGCCCUUAUCUUUCCCAAUGUUACCACAGACAUAGUUCAGGAGAUUUAGAUAAUUAUAAUGAAUCUAGAGUGGUCCCAAUGAGAUCAAAUUCUGUGGUGAAGAAACCUCAACCCUGGAUUUCAAGUUGGAAAAUAGCCG
rnacentral:lncRNA from 1 species